UGGGGAAUAUUGCACAAUGGGCGCAAGCCUGAUGCAGCCAUGCCGCGUGUGUGAAGAAGGCCUUCGGGUUGUAAAGCACUUUCAGCGAGGAGGAAGGUGGUGAGCUUAAUACGCUCAUCAAUUGACGUUACUCGCAGAAGAAGCACCGGCUAACUCCGUGCCAGCAGCCGCGGUAAUACGGAGGGUGCAAGCGUUAAUCGGAAUUACUGGGCGUAAAGCGCACGCAGGCGGUUUGUUAAGUCAGAUGUGAAAUCCCCGGGCUCAACCUGGGAACUGCAUUUGAAACUGGUAAGCUAGAGUCUCGUAGAGGGGGGUAGAAUUCCAGGUGUAGCGGUGAAAUGCGUAGAGAUCUGGAGGAAUACCGGUGGCGAAGGCGGCCCCCUGGACGAAGACUGACGCUCAGGUGCGAAAGCGUGGGGCAGCAAACAGGAUUAGAUACCCUGGUAGUCCACGCUGUAAAACGAUGUCGAUUUUGGAGGUUGUGCCCUUGAGGCGUGGCUUCCGGAGCUAACGCGUUAAAUCGACCGCCUGGGGAGUACGGCCGCAAGGUU
rnacentral:rRNA from 1 species